UGCGUAGGCGGCAUGAUAAGUCAGGGGUGAAAGCCCACAGCUCAACUGUGGAAUUGCCUUUGAUACUGUCAAGCUUGAAUUAGGUUGAGGUUGGCGGAAUGUGACAUGUAGCGGUGAAAUGCAUAGAUAUGUCAUAGAACACCAAUUGCGAAGGCAGCUGGCUAGACCUUAAUUGACGCUGAGGCACGAAAGCGUGGGGAGCAAACAGGAUUAGAUACCCUGGUAGUCC
rnacentral:rRNA from 1 species